rnacentral:rRNA from 1 species
UACGUAGGGUGCAGGCGUUAAUCGGAAUUACUGGGCGUAAAGCGUGCGCAGGCGGUCUUUUAAGUCAGAUGUGAAAUCCCCGGGCUUAACCUGGGAACUGCGUUUGAAACUGGAAGGCUUGAGUGUGGCAGAGGGGGGUGGAAUUCCACGUGUAGCAGUGAAAUGCGUAGAGAUCGGGAGGAACACCAGAGGCGAAGGCGGCGACCUGGACAGGCACUGACACUCAACUACGAAAGCGUGGGGAGCAAACAGG